rnacentral:rRNA from 1 species
UAUCCACCUGGGGAGUACGGUCGCAAGAUUGAAACUCAAAGGAAUUGACGGGGGCCCGCACAAGCGGAGGAACAUGUGGUUUAAUUCGAUGAUACGCGAGGAACCUUACCUGGGCUUAAAUGUGUUCGGACCGGUCUGGAAACAGACCUUCCCUUCGGGGCCGGAUACAAGGUGCUGCAUGGUUGUCGUCAGCUCGUGCCGUGAGGUGUCGGGUUAAGUCCCAUAACGAGCGCAACCCUUAUCGUUAGUUGCUAACAGGUAAUGCUGAGGACUCUGGCGAGACUGCCACCGUAAGGUGAGAGGAAGGUGGGGAUGACGUCAAAUCAGCACGGCCCUUAUGUCCAGGGCUACACACGUGUUACAAUGGCCGGUACAAAGGGCAGCUACUUGGUGACAGGAUGCUAAUCUCUAAAGCCGGUCUCAGUUCGGAUCGAAGUCUGCAACCCGACUUCGUGAAGCUGGAUUCGCUAGUAAUCGCGCAUCAGCCAUGGCGCGGUGAAUACGUUCCCGGGCCUUGUACACACCGCCCGUCAAACCAUGGAAGCUGGGGGGACCUGAAGUCUGUGACCGCAAGGAGCGGC